UACAGAGGGGGCAAGCGUUGUUCGGAAUUACUGGGCGUAAAGGGCGCGUAGGCGGCCUUCUAAGUCGAACGUGAAAUCCCUGGGCUCAACCCAGGAACUGCGUCCGAUACUGGAAGGCUUGAAUCCGGGAGAGGGAUGUGGAAUUCCAGGUGUAGCGGUGAAAUGCGUAGAUAUCUGGAGGAACACCGGUGGCGAAGGCGGCAUCCUGGACCGGCAUUGACGCUGAGGCGCGAAAGCCAGGGGAGCAAACGGG
rnacentral:rRNA from 1 species